rnacentral:rRNA from 1 species
UACGAGGGGUGCAAACGUUAUUCGGAUUGAUUGGGCGUAAAGGGUGCGUAGGCGGCAUGCUAAGUCAACUGUUAAAUUUCCCGGCCUAACUGGGAUAGUGCGGUAGAUACUGGUGUGCUUGAGGAUGGAAGAGAGAAGUGGAAUUCUCGGAGUAGCGGUAAAAUGCGUAGAUCUCGAGAGGAACACCAAUGGCGAAGGCAGCUUCUUGGUCCAUUUCUGACGCUGAGGCACGAAAGCGCGGGGAGCAAACAGG